UAUAUCACAAGGCAGCACCACUUGAAGCUUUUUUUGGUAAUAGUAACGACUUGAAGCGUGAGAAGAAUUUGAGCUAGAAAAACAAUAAGAGUAUGGCUGUUUUCGCUUUUCCUAAUUUUCGAAAAAGAGGAAUUUGGGUGAAUGCCCCUAUCGGGAGGCCAUUGAGGAUGUAUACCCACUCAUUUCUGAAACUUUUUAUUUUACACUUUCAUUUUUUAAUAAUCCUAAAAUACCCUUCGAAAUAUCAAAAACAAAUUAUUUUUUUUUCUUUCUUUCACUUCUCACCAGCUCGUCUCUUCUUCUUCCUCACCCUUUCCCCUAAAAACCCCAGAUUUGAGUUUUCGAGUUUCCCUCUCAUCGGAGCAGAAGCUUUGCUUUCUGCUUGUAGUUUCAAAUUUCGCAGAUAGACAGAACAAAAAAAAUGGCCAAGUGAUGGUGCUCCGGUGCCAACCGAAUAUAUCUGGAAAGCCCUGGUUUACAAUCAUGGGUUUGGCCACCACGGCUAUUGUCCUCGAGCCGCUUUGUAGAGCAAGAUCCAAGCCAUCCCGAAGUAGAGUAUCGGUAAAAGAUAGAGCCCAGGGGAGAAUCCCUGUCGUCGUGUUCAGCCAAAGCCUCCUGGACAAAAAACCUAGCAACCGAUCAAGGGGUGAUAAUGGGAAAAGUAAGAGAAAUCUUUCUAAUUCGGUAUCAGAAUAAUUUAGCAAGUCUUUUUCCUUUUUAAUAUCUUAAUAGAUGCAUCUAGUACUUUUUAGUCUAGUUGUAAUUUUCUUAUGGUUUGUUAUUUCUGGUAUUACUUUUUCUAUCAGUUUUAUGUUUCUAUGAGCUUGAUAAAUUCUCUGAUCCUGGUUCUUGAUUGAUUUCAAAAUAGACUCGUCCAGCUGUUUUAAGUGCUUUCAAAAUGGUAGAUUUAAUUGGAAAUGGUGGCAUUGUUUUUGAAGUUUCUCCUGGGGUUUUCCUACAGGUUUAUCUAUUUUAUUUUGAAUUUUUCAACUUUCAAUUUGUUUCUUGUUAUUUUGAGGUUUAAUGUUUAAAAAAUUGAUCCUAUUCUCUUAACAAAUACUAUUGCAUGUGCUGUUCAGGUCUUUUAUCUUUUUUAUUUUUAUUUUUUAAAAUCGGGAUUACUAUAAGUUCUACUUUAAGGUGGAGAAGGAGGUGACUCAAAUCCACGACAUUAAAGGUGUGGGUGUGAGGCAUACUAUGUGGCAUAUUUGUAAGAUGUAGAUAACUUCCUCACCUUGUCUUUACUUGAAAAUAUUCUCUACCAAAUUUUAUAUGUAACAUUUGUCCCUUGGAAGAUGUGUUAGGCAGAUAGAAGAGGACUAUGAAAUCCACUUUCAUCCCAUAUAUUCUUGUAUGUAUACUAUGCAUAGUGAAAUACUAUAAUUUCUAUAGAGUGAAUUAUAGACUGUGUUCUUAAAUUGAAGUAUGUCAAUCCUAGUUUUAAAAGAAAUUUUCACUACUUAUUAUCUGUUCUCUACUUAAUUUCAAGGCUUGCUUGUUAAUGGUAGACAAGGUUAGGAAAUUAACAGAACGAAUUUGGAUCUGAAUAUCUACAGAGAGGUAACACUUCAUAUUUUAUUAUUCACCUGUUCUCAUUGAUUCAUUUAACUACAUGAGAUUCUUGUGACUAAAGUAUAGGCAAUGACCUGAAUUUGUUGGAUUCUGUAUGUAAGCAACUUCCUUGUAAUAGGAGCAUUCACCCAAAUUCCCCUUUUGUUAAGUUUCUAUAGCUUUAUUAUGAGACCACACUACUAUAAAUCUAGAUUGGCAUAAUGAUUUAUAGGUGUGUGAGAGAGAGAGAGAGAGAGAGAGAGAGAGAGCUUAAUGAUAUUUGCCCCUUCAUUUGCUAUCGUUUUUUUCUUCUACCCUUCCAAUUUUUGUUAAUUGCAAAAUACCCUUAUAUUCAAAUUAAAUAUUUUUACUUUUUUCUUUUUUCUUUUUCUGUUAUUUCUUUCUUUUCUUCACACGUUCUCUCCUCUUUCAUCAUCCUUGUUCAAGAAGACCCCAUUGUUGAUAAGCUCAGAACCCAUCUCCUCCAAUGAAUCGAAACGUUGUCGGACUGUUCGUCUUCUUCUUCUUUGUCGGAGUUGCGUUUGAUAAGCUUUGGACUUCCAGGAAGAAGAAGAACAAAUCAUGGGUUGAUGAAAAUCGUCAUGAAGCUUGGCCACAGGUGCCCACGAGCUUUUCAUUGUUUUUGGAGAAGGAUUUGCAGAGGAAAGAGUCGGUGGAAUGGGUGAAUAGGGUGUUGGGGAAGUUGUGGAAAGUGUAUAGAGGUGGGAUUGAGAAUUGGAUAAUUGGGUUGAGCCCGUCAUUGAAAAUUUGAAGAAGCCUGAUUAUGUUGAGAGGGUGGAAAUUAAGCAAUUCUCUUUAGGGGAUGAGCCGUUGUUUGUUAGAAAUGUUGAGAGACGGACUUCUCGUCAUGCAAAUGACCUGCAAUAUCAAAUCGGUCACCGUUAUAGUGGAGGUGUCCCAUAUGCUUUUAAUGCUGUCACUAAAGUUUGGCAUUAUACCAAUUGUGGUGCUAGUUGGUGUUCGAGAUUUUGACAUUGAUGGUGAACUUUAGGUCAAAUUGGGAUUGAUACCAACAGAGCCUUUUGUAGGAACUGUAAUAUUCUCUAGUUUUUAUUCAUAAAACACUUGUAUAUUUUUCUCUUGCUAAUUCACAUUUAGUUUUUAGUUUUUCUAUAUGAUUCUCAUGUUAAGAUGAAAUGUAAGGAUUCAAUUUCAUUAUUAAAUUCUCCAUAUUGUUUAAGAUGUGGAAAAGCAAGAAAUAAGAAGGAUGAGAAUUUAAAUGGA